CAUUGCCUGGCCAGAGAACUGCUGAUAUCACCUGGAGGAGAGGUGAGCCACAUCAAAGGAGCAGAAGCCAACAUUGAUAGGCCGGGAGCAUCCUGCGAAUACCCUGCCAGAAGUAGUGGAGCGGACACUCCAUUGGAGAGAGUCAAUUGCAGAGGCCCUAGUGAGACGCAUCACACGAGUCAAACCACAGAGCAAGACUUGAUUCCACCAACAUUGGGAAUGAGAGAGCAUAG